GACGAACGCUGGCGGCGUGCUUAACACAUGCAAGUCGAACGGAAAGGCCCUGCUUUUGUGGGGUGCUCGAGUGGCGAACGGGUGAGUAACACGUGAGUAACCUGCCCUUGACUUUGGGAUAACUUCAGGAAACUGGGGCUAAUACCGGAUAGGAGCUCCUGCUGCAUGGUGGGGGUUGGAAAGUUUCGGCGGUUGGGGAUGGACUCGCGGCUUAUCAGCUUGUUGGUGGGGUAGUGGCUUACCAAGGCUUUGACGGGUAGCCGGCCUGAGAGGGUGACCGGCCACAUUGGGACUGAGAUACGGCCCAGACUCCUACGGGGGGCAGCAGUGGGGAAUAUGGCACAAUGGGCCGAAGCCUGAGGCAGCAACGCCGGGUGCGGGAUGACGGCCUUCGGGUUGUAAACCGCUUUCGCCUGUGACGAAGCGUGAGUGACGGUAAUGGGUAAAGAAGCACCGGCUAACUACGUG
rnacentral:rRNA from 1 species